rnacentral:rRNA from 1 species
GACGGGUGAGUAAUGCAUAGGAAUCUACCUAGUAGUAUGGGAUAGCCACUAGAAAUGGUGGGUAAUACUGUAUAAUCCCUGCGGGGGAAAGAUUUAUCGCUAUUAGAUGAGCCUAUGUUAGAUUAGCUAGUUGGUAGGGUAAAGGCCUACCAAGGCAGUGAUCUAUAGCUGGUCUGAGAGGAUGAUCAGCCACACUGGAACUGAGAUACGGUCCAGACUCCUACGGGAGGCAGCAGUGGGGAAUAUUGGACAAUGGGCGCAAGCCUGAUCCAGCUAUGCCGCGUGAGUGAGGAAGGCCUUAGGGUUGUAAAACUCUUUCAGUGGGGAAGAUAAUGACGGUACCCACAGAAGAAGUCCCGGCAAACUCCGUGCCAGCAGCCGCGGUAAUACGGAGGGGGCAAGCGUUGUUCGGAAUUAUUGGGCGUAAAGGGCAUGUAGGCGGUUCGGUAAGUUAAAGGUGA